CAGAGGCCCACGCCCGCCCACCCUGUCUCAAGUCUGUGCUCCCCAGGUUCCCUGGGGACCAGGUUUGGCCCCAAGGCUAAAGGGACAGGAGGGGGAUUGCUGUGGGCAACUUCCAGGUCACCUCCUUGAAGGCAAGGUAGAUUCUUUCCCGCUUAGCAGCCCCGCAGUGAAGACAGCCUCGUGGUGAGGGGAGCAGAAGGCCCUCCCUUUGCCUGAGUCCCCAGGUGGCCGCACCCGAGCCCGCAUAUCACCAUGAAUGUCUCUGGGAUCUCUCAUUAUAGCUGCUUGUCACCCCCCUGAUGAAUGCCAUGGCAAUCAUAUCAUCAGGACAACCUUAGAACGGUCAAGGAAAAUAAGAAUGGAGGCCACAGUGGAAUCUGCUGGCUUUUCCUUUGCCCAGCAUUUAUCUGCAUUCCUGCAGCUCAGCCCUAGAGAAUGGACCUAUGGCACGUGGCCCAGUAGAGGCUCUUCCCAAUGCUCCCUACCAACCUCUGGUCCCGGCGUGUGGCACAGGGAACCCAACAGCGCACACUCCUGUCUCCAAAGGAGCCAAUGGGAGACCUGCUUUGGACUUACACUCGAGCUAUCGGAAAAAAUGAGGACACAGCAGGUGCGAUGUAAGCUGGUGAAGCUGGCUGCGUCCAACGCCCCUUAGGAAGAGCGUCCCUGAGACUAAAGCCACGUGAGGGACAAGAAGAGGAGAGAGGCAGACACUUGGCACUCCCAUUUCUCACCAGCUGGGCUGAGCAUCCAUGGUGUAUGAGAAACUGAGUGUGGAAUACCUCUUGACCGGGAUGAGGUGAGCCAAAAUUGCUUUAAGCGGAAGCAGCUUGAAUUGGUCAUCUGUUUCUUGUGAUCAAAAUCAUUGUUAUUCACUACCCAUUCCGUAGUUAAGAUUAUUCUCUCAGGAUAGGUUGGUUAGUAAGGGGAUGAGCGAGGCAAAGAGUCUCCCUUUCAGGAAAUAACCCACCUAACUGGUAGUGACUCCCUGAGAUGCUGCGUCCGGAGGGUCCCACCCCUGUGUGCGAAUUGAUAGAAGGGACAAAGGGGUCUUUUAAUGAUCCUGGUCACUGAUAUUAUACAAGGAAUGGCUUGCGUGUGCUAGGUAUUUGCCACCCUUGCUUUAAGACAUUCCUCCUUUAACGAUGGCAUAAGUCUAGACAGGCGAGGGGGAGGAUUGUAAAAUUAUGGUAUAUUGGUAAAUUCUUUGUGGGCACAUUUUUAUCAGUUUUAAAGAGAGCCAUGGACCAAUUAGUCCUCUCCACGCAGCAUUUAGGGGCCAUAAUUCAUGCUUUCAAUUGACUUCUUUUUUUUCCAG